GACGAACGCUGGCGGCGUGCUUAACACAUGCAAGUCGUACGGUAAGGCCCUUUCGGGGGUACACGAGUGGCGAACGGGUGAGUAACACGUGAGUAACCUGCCCACAACUUUGGGAUAACGCUAGGAAACUGGUGCUAAUACUGGAUAUGUGCUCCUGCUGCAUGGUGGGGGUUGGAAAGCUCCGGGGGUUGUGGAUGGACUCGCGGCCUAUCAGCUUGUUGGUGGGGUAGUGGCCUACCAAGGCGGCGACGGGUAGCCGGCCUGAGAGGGUGACCGGCCACAUUGGGACUGAGAUACGGCCCAGACUCCUACGGGAGGCAGCAGUGGGGAAUAUUGCACAAUGGGCGCAAGCCUGAUGCAGCAACGCCGCGGGCGGGAUGACGGCCUUCGGGUUGGAAACCGCUUUCAGCAGGGACGAAGCUUUUUGUGACGGUACCUGCAGAAGAAGCACCGGCUAACUACGUG
rnacentral:rRNA from 1 species